GAGCACUGUUUCGGCAAGGGGGUCAUCCCGACUUACCAACCCGAUGCAAACUGCGAAUACCGGAGAAUGUUAUCACGGGAGACACACGGCGGGUGCUAACGUCCGUCGUGAAGAGGGAAACAACCCAGACCGCCAGCUAAGGUCCCAAAGUCAUGGUUAAGUGGGAAACGAUGUGGGAAGGCCCAGACAGCCAGGAUGUUGGCUUAGAAGCAGCCAUCAUUUAAAGAAAGCGUAAUAGCUCACUGGUCGAGUCGGCCUGCGCGGAAGAUGUAACGGGGCUAAACCAUGCACCGAAGCUGCGGCAGCGACGCUGAUGCGUUGUUGGGUAGGGGAGCGUUCUGUAAGCCUGUGAAGGUGUGCUGUGAGGCAUGCUGGAGGUAUCAGAAGUGCGAAUGCUGACAUAAGUAACGAUAAAGCGGGUGAAAAGCCCGCUCGCCGGAAGACCAAGGGUUCCUGUCCAACGUUAAUCGGGGCAGGGUGAGUCGACCCCUAAGGCGAGGCCGAAAGGCGUAGUCGAUGGGAAACAGGUUAAUAUUCCUGUACUUGGUGUUACUGCGAAGGGGGGACGGAGAAGGCUAUGUUGGCCGGGCGACGGUUGUCCCGGUUUAAGCGUGUAGGCUGGUUUUCCAGGCAAAUCCGGAAAACUAAGGCUGAGGCGUGAUGACGAGGCACUACGGUGCUGAAGCAACAAAUGCCCUGCUUCCAGGAAAAGCCUCUAAGCAUCAGGUAACAUCAAAUCGUACCCCAAACCGACACAGGUGGUCAGGUAGAGAAUACCAAGGCGCUUGAGAGAACUCGGGUGAAGGAACUAGGCAAAAUGGUGCCGUAACUUCGGGAGAAGGCACGCUGAUAUGUAGGUGAAGUCCCUCGCGGAUGGAGCUGAAAUCAGUCGAAGAUACCAGCUGGCUGCAACUGUUUAUUAAAAACACAGCACUGUGCAAACACGAAAGUGGACGUAUACGGUGUGACGCCUGCCCGGUGCCGGAAGGUUAAUUGAUGGGGUCAGCGCAAGCGAAGCUCUUGAUCGAAGCCCCGGUAAACGGCGGCCGUAACUAUAACGGUCCUAAGGUAGCGAAAUUCCUUGUCGGGUAAGUUCCGACCUGCACGAAUGGCGUAAUGAUGGCCAGGCUGUCUCCACCCGAGACUCAGUGAAAUUGAACUCGCUGUGAAGAUGCAGUGUACCCGCGGCAAGACGGAAAGACCCCGUGAACCUUUACUAUAGCUUGACACUGAACAUUGAGCCUUGAUGUGUAGGAUAGGUGGGAGGCUUUGAAGUGUGGACGCCAGUCUGCAUGGAGCCGACCUUGAAAUACCACCCUUUAAUGUUUGAUGUUC
rnacentral:rRNA from 1 species